GGGGAUUUAGCUCAGUGGUAGAGCGCUUGCCUAGCAAGCACAAGGCCCUGGGUUGGGCCCCCAGCUCCG
rnacentral:tRNA from 1 species